CCCUUAGAUGUCCUGGGCUGCACGCGCGCUACACUGACGAACUCAACGAGCUUAUCACCUUGGCAGAGAUGCCUGGGUAAUCUUUUGAAAGUUCGUCGUGCUGGGGAUAGAUGAUUGUAAUUAUUCGUCUUGAACGAGGAAUUCCUAGUAAGUGUGAGUCAUCAGCUCGCGCUGAUUACGUCCCUGCCCUUUGUACACACCGCCCGUCGCUCCUACCGAUUGAAUGGUCCGGUGAGGUUCUCGGAUUUUUUCUGUUGUUUGGUUCGCUAAACGAUUGAAGAGAGAAGUUACCCAAACCUUACCAUUUAGAGGAAGGAGAAGUCGUAACA
rnacentral:rRNA from 1 species